CACAGAGAGCUGCUCCACCCUUUGUCCCAGAGAAACUCUGGCUCGUCAUGUCAUUAUUGCCCCACUGCAACCAGGUGCUCUCUGAUAAGUGCAGAUUUCAAAACUGUGCUCAUAAUUCCUGCCAAAGUGAUUUCCCAAAGUCAGGCACAAACUGGGCCUGGUAAAUGUGCCAUAAAACAAAAUUCAGACACGGGAACCUCCUAGAAUGGGCUCACACAUACACAUACACACACACAGCCUCUUUCUAGUACUUUAACUCAAUUACUUCUCUGAUUUCAGCCUGGAUUUCUAGAAGGAAGAAGCUGUUCCAAGCACAGUGCAAUUCCAGAGCUUCCCAGUGAAGAGGGCAACAGAGCAGAGUCUGGCUUCCUCUUGCUCUUGCAGAGGAAUGUUCCCAGAGCAUGCAGCCUUGUGAUCUGUUCUGGAGUCGGCCAUGUGCACGUCUGAGAGGAACAAAUUGUCUAUGGUCUUAUUAAAGAAUCUUCCCACAAAUUGAAACAUCAUGCACCUCUUGGUGUGGGCCACUGAGAAGACAUCCUUUAUGUAGCAUUUGUCCCCAAUCUGCUUGAUCUAAGCCUGAUCACGGGGAAGAAAUCAGAAUGUGAGAGGCAUCCUACAAACUGCAUUCUUCAGAAACAACACGUGAAAGACAACCAAGACUGAAAAGUGAUUCAAUUUAAAGGAGAUGCACUUGACUUGGCAACUGAAAGCAGCCUGUGACUCUGGACUGAGCACAGGAGCUAGGAGACAUGAUUUCUCUCCUGUGAGAUUGUUGGGCCAAUUGGUGCCAUCUAAACGUGGAUUGUACAUUAGGUCACAGUAUUGUAUCAAUGCUGAAUUUCCUCAAUAUGAUCAUUGCAAUGUGGUCAUAUGAGAGAAUGUUCUUUUCUUAGAGGUAAAGGAUGAAAAUUCUGGCAACUUAACCGGCAAA